GACUAGUUGCUUAAGCAUUCACGUUAGGGUCAUACAAUCAAUUACCUCCUAAAUGUAUCGUCUCUAUUUCCAAUAUCUGAACAUACAAGGAAACUAUAAUCUCCUCCUUCACCUUAUCGAUCUCUUCCUUACAGUAAUUUAGUCAUACCAAUAACUGCUAUUUCUACCAAUAUAUUCACCCUCAUAAUCUCUAACUAUAAUACUACGCCUUCACAGCUUUCAGCACACAAUUAUCCUCGUUCCAAUCACUGGAAUUCUUCACACAGAACUGCCAUUCACAUUACAAUGUUUCAUACAAACACAGACUCAUUCUCUCUGCUGAACUACAAUCAAAUUUCAGCAUUUAAUCUUUCUUCUUCUAAAAUAAUACCAAUGACAUUUCCAUUCCAUAAUUCACUUCACAAUAUUUAGAAACUCUCAAUCCUCUUAUUCAAAGAAAAUAACAAACAAAAGAAAAGAGGUAGCACCAAGCUUACCCCGACUCACACUAUCACAGCGAUGGCCCUUGACUCAUGACUAUCACAGUCUGGCACCUUAAUUAACUUCUACAACUCCUAUAUACUUUUCUUUGAUUCUCCAGAUUCUAACUGUAAUUCUAUAAUUAACCACUUUUAAUAACUAAAUCAUUUAUCCGUCCUCUUGAAUUUCCUAUUAUAUAGACUAUUAAUAUAUUUUAUCAAUAUCUUUCAAAAACGAAUUAAUAUCUAUUUUACAUAGCUCCACUUCUAUCUAUGCAGCGUCCUCGCAAAUACUCAAUUGAUACCUAUCUAAAAAUUAUCUAACAAAACUCUACAAAAAUUGCAAUUCCUCUCGCCUAUCUAAUUAAUCAAUUGCCGCAGUAUCUGUUAUUGAUUCUACUGAUUUCGGUUCCAAUUACAAAUCUUCGUCCUCUUCCA
rnacentral:lncRNA from 1 species